rnacentral:rRNA from 1 species
GACGGAGGGGGCAAGCGUUGUCCGGACUCACUGGGCGUAAAGCGUGCGUAGGUGGUGCGAUGCGUCGGCGCUGAAAGCGCCCGGCUUAACCGGGCGACGGGCGACGAUACGAUCGCACUGGAGGCAGGGAGACGUUGGUGGAAUUCCGGGUGUAGUGGUGAAAUGCGUAGAGAUCCGGAGGAAUGCCGGUGGCGUAAGCGGCCAACGAGUCCGGACCUGACACUGAGGCACGAAAGCGUGGGGAGCAAACCGG